GCUCUGGUGGCCAAGUGGUUAGAGCGUCCGACUCGGAUGUGGGAGGUCGCGGGUUCUAAUCCCGGCCUUUUGAUACCAAAGACU